UACGUAGGGGCCGAGCGUUGUCCGGAUUUAUUGGGCGUAAAGCGCGCGCAGGCGGCUUGGCGCGCCCGACGUGAAAGCCCCCGGCUUAACCGGGGAGGGUCGUCGGGUACGGCCAGGCUUGAGGGCGGGAGAGGGUGGUGGAAUUCCCGGUGUAGUGGUGAAAUGCGUAGAGAUCGGGAGGAACACCUGUGGCGAAGGCGGCCACCUGGGCCGACCCUGACGCUGAGACGCGAAAGCGUGGGGAGCGAACAGG
rnacentral:rRNA from 1 species